CCUGCAUAUAAGGUGAUGGUCAAAAGCAAGCACAAACAAAGAGGCAGCAGAUAAAACUUUGUGAUGUUUUAAUAAAAUGACACGGUACGAUAUCUUCCAGGGUAGAUCACCUCAUAAAAUCACAACCUGAAUAUCGCUUUGGUGCCGGUCCCUCCAGGCACCAACCACAACCAAGAAAAACAUUCGGCAUUCUCAGGGCUGGAGAAGCUUCAUGAAGAAAUCAACAGUAUUGUACUCUAUGUCCUGCUGCAAUUUGCAACGACUCCAUCGCCACGUUUUGUCACCUCCACUUUCAGACUUAGAUAGUGAUCACAUGCACAUGUUCAAUAUCCCACUAUAUAAAAGCUACUAAUUUUGGAUGUUAUAAAGGAUGCCACAUAGGCAAAAUAUUCUCAGCCAUUCAUUCUGCCACGUCACUGGUAACCCAGACCAACAAAUCGUAAUUGCAGCCCAGCCCGUUAACCGGUUUCGCUCACGAAAUUGCUGUCUCCGUCUCUUUGCUGUUGGGCCAGAUUAAAAAAUUUUCCAGCCCAUCCCAUUACUUAUUUCAACUUUCAAACUAUUUUCUUUUGCAUUUUCUAUUAUUUCAGACAAUUUUUUAUUUCAACUGUUUUCUAUAACAAUGUGCAAACCGCCUAAGUUCCCUUUGAUCUUAAAAUAGUACGCCCAAGAUAACAAAACCCCCUCAUUUCACACACAGUCCCUGUAAAUUUCUAUAAAAAACUAAAUUCUACUAUCAAACCCACCCAACAAAUUUACUACUACCACCUAUAAUUAUGGCCCAGCCUACUUAAACUUUAAAAAAAACCAUGACAAUACUUAAAAAAAACACACCCUAACUAUGUUCACUUCAAAAAAAAAAAUUUAAACAAAAUUGCCAAAAAAAUACUAAUUCUCAUUCUUAUCUAUGUAGCACAUGCACCACAAGAUCAAAGCAAUUAGGACAACACCCUCGAACCUCAUCCAAUAAUCGUUAGGAUCCUUAGGGUCUGGCCCAUCACAAAUCACAAAAAUAAAGAUGCUUUCCUAGGGACAACUUUCAUAUGUCUUGACAUCCAGGAACAAAAAAUGGAGGGGAAGGUACCUAUUUCUACGUCUGACACAAUGUACCAACGCUUCGAAGAAGGAAAAAUUUAUCACAUUAGAUAUUUUAAUCUCCUCCCCAAUAACCAACGUUACAGGCUUACCGAUCAACCAUACAUAAUCAAUAUCAAAGAAACAACAACUAUUACACUGAUUCAAGAAAACAUUGCACCGAUUCCUUCAUACAUAUUCCGGCCACAACGCUACACCCAGUUGAUCAGCUUAGCAAGUGAAACCAACUUCCUACCAGAUGUUGUUGGCCGCAUUUGCCUCAUCCAAGGAAGUGAUUUAUAUAACCACUACACAGAUUCAAAAAUCAUCAUUGGAUUACGUUUAGACAGAUCGAAAUUGGUACGUCUAACUUUAUGGGACAAGGAGGCAUCUAAUUUCAGAGAGUUAAAUCGCAUAUCAACAAGGAAAAAACAAGUCGUAAUCAUCACAAGUAUCAUUCCACGGAUACAUGAAGGUAAUAAACUAAACAUAAACUUUACAAAAAACUAAAUGCUAACAAAUAUUUGCCUUUUUCAGAAAAACUAUCACUCACAGCAACACCUGGAACGCGCUUCUACUUUAACAACGAAAUUGAUAUCA